rfam:Trachipleistophora hominis chromosome Tnknown scaffold00147, whole genome shotgun sequence.
GUCAGCAUGGCCGAGUGGUUAAGGCGAUAGAUUCGAAAUCUAUUGGGCUCGUUCCCGCGCAGGUUCAAAUCCUGCUGCUGACG